UACGGAGGGAACUAGCGUUGUUCGGAAUUACUGGGCGUAAAGAGCGCGUAGGCGGUUUAUUAAGUUGGGAGUGAAAUCCCAGGGCUCAACCCUGGAACUGCUCUCAAAACUGGUAGACUAGAGUGUGAUAGGGGGUGAUGGAAUUCCUAGUGUAGAGGUGAAAUUCUUAGAUAUUAGGAGGAACAUCGGUGGCGAAGGCGAUCACCUGGAUCAUUACUGACGCUGAGGCGCGAAAGCGUGGGGAGCAAACAGG
rnacentral:rRNA from 1 species